rnacentral:rRNA from 1 species
GUGGGGAAUUUUGGACAAUGGGCGCAAGCCUGAUCCAGCCAUUCCGCGUGCAGGAUGAAGGCCUUCGGGUUGUAAACUGCUUUUGUACGGAACGAAAAGGUUCUCUCUAAUACAGGGGGCUGAUGACGGUACCGUAAGAAUAAGCACCGGCUAACUACGUGCCAGCAGCCGCGGUAAUACGUAGGGUGCAAGCGUUAAUCGGAAUUACUGGGCGUAAAGCGUGCGCAGGCGGUGAUGUAAGACAGAUGUGAAAUCCCCGGGCUCAACCUGGGAACUGCAGUUGUGACUGCAUUGCUGGAGUGCGGCAGAGGGGGAUGGAAUUCCGCGUGUAGCAGUGAAAUGCGUAGAUAUGCGGAGGAACACCGAUGGCGAAGGCAAUCCCCUGGGCCUGCACUGACGCUCAUGCACGAAAGCGUGGGGAGCAAACAGGAUUAGAUACCCUGGUAGUCC